ensembl:lncRNA
CAACGGUGUUGCCAACUCCUCAGUAAGGAAAGUAGCUAUUGGCUGUCCUAAAAGUCGCUAAAAGACGUCAUCACCUAAUUUGCAUAAUUGGCCAUGUGCAUGUAAUUGUGAUGGACGCUGUAGCAGAGAGGACUAACGUCGUGGGAUAGACGAAACCAUCUGGCUGAAUACUCUCUCGACUUAAGCAUUCAAGUCUCGCAAGGACAACAGACGCAGCUAUGGCGCUAGGUGGAGGUAACCAAGGUACGGUUUGGGACUGAUAUAUCCAUCUAUUGGCCCUUUAAGUACAUCAACAUUUGCCAGUUGAUUCAGCACCCCGCUGCUCACAGACUUGAUCAGGCUA